ACAUUCCUUUGUGACUAUCUUUUACAUCUUAAUGACAACAGAUAUUGGCUGCUUUCAUACUGUUGGGUUCCUCCAUUGGAAAAGAGCUGUGAUUCGCUGCAAGUCAUUCCUUAAAAGGAGAUGACAUGAAUACUUCACUGGUCACUGCAGGAGCUGCUAUUGUUAUUUUAUUUGUUCAAUGUUUCCACAGUUGCUCUUGGUGCUUGAGGUUGAGGUUAGGAGGUAAAGAGUCAGACUGCCAUUAACUGUUUUUCAGCUGCCGCAAACCACACUCGUUCUCUAUCUAGGGCUGCAUUUGUCCCCUCAACGAUGUGAAGAUCACCCUUCAGGAAAUGGACAUUUAUAACAGAUGUGUUAAAAGUGGUCGUUUUAAACUAGAAUAAUGUUUAUGUUUAAUUGUAUCUUGACUAUGGUACCAUGUAGUGUGAUCACUAUAAAACACUUGUAAACUAAUUAUCUAGUUGCUCUGCAAUGUUCAGAGGGAACAGUACACUUGGGUCCUGGUGUCUUGUAGGUCUGCACUGACUGUUUUAGCGGCUAAACAUUGAAAUUAUCUUUGAUUUGCUUUUUGACUGAAGGUUUCUUUUGACAAUCGACUAUUUCUUCAGCUUCAUUCCUUUAAAUUGCAGUGUUUGCCCUGAACAUUGCCUUUCAUAUAUUUCAAUCAUUGGUACCAAACAUUUAAUAAUAUCUCCCUCGAAAUAAAUUGUAUAUUAAACCCAAAUCUCAAAUCAUC